GCAUAUCAAUAAGCGGAGGAAAAGAAACCAACCGGGAUUGCCUCAGUAACGGCGAGUGAAGCGGCAAGAGCUCAAAUUUGAAAUCUGGCCCCUCCGGGGUCCGAGUUGUAAUUUGCAGAGGAUGCUUCGGGUGCGGCCCCUGUCUAAGUGCCCUGGAACGGGCCGUCAGAGAGGGUGAGAAUCCCGUCUUGGGCAGGGUGCCCGUGCCCGUGUGAAGCUCCUUCGACGAGUCGAGUUGUUUGGGAAUGCAGCUCAAAAUGGGUGGUAAAUUUCAUCUAAAGCUAAAUACCGGCCGGAGACCGAUAGCGCACAAGUAGAGUGAUCGAAAGAUGAAAGCACUUUGAAAAGAGAGUUAAACAGCAUGUGAAAUUGUUGAAAGGGAAGCGCUUGCAACCAGACUCGGCCUCGGGGUUCAGCCAGCAUUCGUGCUGGUGUACUUCCCCGGGGCCGGGCCAGCGUCGGUUUGGGCGGCCGGUCAAAGGCCCCAGGAAUGUAUCGUCCUCCGGGACGUCUUAUAGCCUGGGGUGCAAUGCGGCCAGCCUGGACCGAGGAACGCGCUUCGGCACGGACGCUGGCGUAAUGGUCGCAAACGACCCGUCUUGAAACACGGACC
rnacentral:rRNA from 1 species